CAGGAGCACCGCGAAGGCACAUCCGCGGCCCACGAAGGAGACUGAGCUCAGACACUACGAAGCGCGCGAGCCCAGCUCGUUGCGGCACCCUCAGUGGGGGUAUAUGCAUAUACAUAAUUGUAUGAAGUCGCGCCUGGGUGUUUCGGCGCGGUGCAGCACUGCGCUGUGGCGACGAAGCCUCUGCUACGGCUGUCGUGAGAGCGUCAGCGUGCCAGCCGGCUCACUGUCCGUGUCAACAUCACAGACGCCGCUCACCACCACCCCCGCACCGCCUAACACGCCGCACUGCCACCGCGGCACGGGUGUUGGUGGAACCGCUAGCAGCAGCGGCGGUGGUGUGUCCUUGGGCGAUCUCGCCAAGGUGUUCCAGCAGCUGAGCUCGGACAACGCAGGGGGCGCUCAACAGGAUCAAGGCGGUCACAGUAGCCGCGGUGACGCAGCUGCGCCGAUGACAGCGACAACAAUAGCGGCGGCCGCCGCCGCGGCGUCGCCCUUAGGCACACCACAGGAGGUCAAUCGUGGCGGUAGCGCCGACGCGCCGCAAGGCAGGUCUGAACCAGCAUCGCAGUGGCGCUCGAUCAGCAGCGCAGGCGCCACCAGUGGAGGCACACCUGCGAGCUAUUACACGCCUCCCCAGCCGAGGAAGCAGCAGUGCGGGGAGGCGGCAGCGCAUCGGUCGCUGAUCAACCUCUCUCCUCUCUACGCGGCCCGACUGACCACCCUUACGGAGGCGCAGCUCUGCACCGAACUCGAGAGCCGUCUGGGCAGGCUCGACUACAGCGGCAUGAUGCAGUGCCUGCAUGAAGUGGUCCGUCGAUGGUCUCCUACGCCCACCACCUCCGCUGUGGCUGAUGGUGCCGCCGAUGGCGACGACAGCGACGCGUGUCGUGCGAAGAGGCGCAGACGCGCGGCAUGUAAACAGGCAUCGGAGGCCGAGGACGUGAUGCCGUCAGCGGCACGCACAUUCAUGGCGAAUCAGCGACUUCUCACCGCGGUGCUGAGCGUGCUCAAGCGGAUGGACCUGUGCGUCAUGGAAGCAGAGGUAAAAAGUUCACCGCAGAACACAUCUGCCGCAGCGGCAUCAGCGGGUGCGGCAGCAACGGCGACGCUCUGCACUGAUGGCAAGCCGCCUCAGCAGCAGCAGCAGCACCCUUGUGACCGUCUUUCGUUACCCGAAACGCCGUUUUAUGCGCGUCUCUCUCGCCUUCUGCUCCAGUGGCUCUCGCGCGAGGUGUCGCGCAUGGACGCUACGGCGUCGCUGCAGGUUCUCCACCUCCUCGCGCAGCAGAGGCUGUUGCACAUGGAAGCGGUUCUGAAGACGCUCGUAGACUCCAUUGUCGUCCACUUGGAACGGUGCGGCUCCGCGGAAGCCGCGACGCCGGGGCCAGAGUCCACCGCCCGGGCGUUUACGCUGGAGGAGUACAGCCUUCUCUUCGACACGCUGGCGCGCUUCCAGGCACAACUCCUGCGCCUUUCGUAUCUGCGGCAGUUCGCCACCCAAGAGCCCCAUGGCGUCCACCCCUCCGCUGCCGAACUGCGCGAUGGCACGAGUGUGGUCGACGCCGAAGGUACAGAGGCCACUGUCAUCGCCGCAGGCGCCACCGAUCCGUGUUUGGUGUCCGCCGCGGCAGCGGUGCGGCGCCGCGCGCUCGAGCAGAGCAACCACCCCGUGGCGAACGGCCGUCUGUUCCACCACCUGGCGGAGGCCCUGUCGCUGGCACUGAUGAACGGCCAGCAAGGGCAUCUCCCUGCAUCAAUGGCAGGCGCGGCAACGAACUCCAUCGACGCGGCAGACACGUCGGCCCGCAUGCUGAGAAUGAACGCCACCAGCUUCCUCUUCCUGACUCGGGCGCUGAGCAAGCUUCAGUGGUGGCACGACGGCCUCGCCGCCGCGCUCGCGGCGCCGCUGACGGGGUACGUCCGCGCCCACCCUGAGUCUGCCCUUGUGGUGGUGGGGCUUGUUGGCCGGCGCGAGAACCGCAGCGGCGAUGUUGCCUUGUUGGAGGUGCUGCAAGACAGCCUCAUCACGCUGCUGCUGCGUCGUCGCGGCGCGUUGAAGGCGCGUACGGAAAUGGGGCAGGCACCGCGGCAGGGCCGAGCGGCAGGGAUGAACGGCGACGCCGACGUGGAAGGCGGCACAAACGGCCUUGUUUCGCAGUGGGCCCAGGACGGCGGAGACGGUGCCACAGGCGAAUCGACGCAUCUCACCACGAGGGCGGGCACCGACGACGGCGAAGAUCACGAGGCGGUGUUGGCGGAGUGGGAAGAAGGUGGGGAAGUGGACUUGCGCCUGCUCUCCUUCUCUGCCUCCUACACCACGCCUGCGACUCACCGCCGAUCGCGCGGGUUUUUCGCCGCCUCUGUCUCCACAGCGUCAAGCACACCUUCGGUGGAGGCCUCGACGCCGUGCGGUGUCACCCCAGCCCCGCCACCGGAGCCGCCCGCCUCCAACUCUGCGGCGUCGCUCACUUUCAUUGACCUGCACGCCCUCCCUGGCACCGUAGAGGCGCUCUGCCGCUUUCACAUGCGCACAAUUGCGGCGGUGCCGCCCCCACGCGAGGCGGGAGCAGGGGCGGCGGGGACGUCAGGAGAGGACGUGCGUGCGCGGCUGGUGCGCAAGAUGCGGGAGCUGCUCGGCUUGAUGCUUGAUGACACCUCGCGCGGCAUCACGUCCCUCGACGCCGUCGCGCGUACCUUUGCGCCGGCGUUUCUGUCGCGGGCGCUGCUGACGCUGCUGGAGGCCACGGCGCAGCUGCCGCAAGCGUGGGGCACCAUCGGUGGGCCCGACGCGUCGUUGAUGCGCCGCGGCAAAUACACAAGCACUGCCACGGCCGAUAGCCCCCAUCACCCAUUCGUGAUCGAGCUGGCGUAUGCCUGGAUUCUGCAGGUGAUGCGGAGUCGCCGCCCGCCACGGCCGCCGCCCGCCUCCCAGACGGACGAGUACAGGGCAGCGGCGGCGGUGGCAUACCACCGAAUAGCAGCCUCAGCCUACUGGCGACGCGCCGUCGUCGUGCAUGAAGCGUUGGUGAAGGCUGGUCUUCUGUGCUGCACUCGCCCACACGCGGCGUACGCGAGCGACCCCGCCGCCGCUCUGAGAGGCAGGUACUACAUGCCAGACGACGUUCUACGUGCCGCGCCGCGGGUCAACGCAGCCGUACAGCUCGCCAAGACGCGGAUCGAAGCGAGGCGUCAGCUGGAGGCGGCUGAGAGGCCGGAAGUGGAAGAACAAGAGCAACAGAAAGCGGUAGCAUCGCGAUACGCAUCUGUAGCGAUUCGGGACUCUGCGCAGCAGCGGCGCGCCUCCGCGGCUUCGUCCUCCUCGCGUUCUCCCCAGCAUCAGUGUCUUCGUACAACGGCUGAGCAGCCAGCGCGGACGACUGAUGUCUUUGCCGGCUACACCAAAGCCGUCUCUCGCUUGCUGUAACUGGUGCACACGCGCCGUUGUUCUCGGGAGCACCUCCUCUGCCUGAAACGCACGU
rnacentral:misc_RNA from 1 species